UAUAGGAUGUCACUAAUAGUCCUGCUUUUGAUUUAACCUUAGUCAUGAAUUCAUUUACUGGAGUAACAUUAUCUAAUAGUCAGGCCCAAAGUAAAAAGGACUCAAGAAAGCAGUUCCUAAGAGGAUUCCACUUAUUUGCAUGGGAUUACUACAACCAUCUUCCUCAUCCAGAUGUUGUGAGAACAAAUGAGAUAAUAUCUGUGGAGCAUUUUAAUCUUAAAAAGAAAUAUUCAUACACAUGAAAAAUAAAGCAAUUUAUUUCCUGACAUUCCAAUAUGCCAUUUAUAUACCUUUUACUAAUAAUUAUAUUAAGGAAGGUCAAUUUUUGUGCAUUUCUCAUAAGUCAUGGGAAAUCUAGAUGCUUAAGGCAUUUAUCCAAGAGAUUCCAACUCGGAAUUUGAGAAUGUUUAGGAAUAAAGGAGUUGAGUAAAUUUCAGGAAUUUUGUACUUCCUUUACUCUCUAGUCUUUAACUGUUGUCAUAGCCCACGGAACGUCAGAAAGCAAGGAAGCCCCUUUUAAGUCACCGGAUCCAAACUGUUUAUUUUAUAGAGAAGAUAGCAGCACCCAGAAAGUCAUGUACCAAAGUCCUUCAAGCUUGUCCGUGGUUGAUGCCAGCCUGAUGCCAGCUUCCUCUACUUUCACCCCAGGGAGUGUUCAGUCAUACCCCAUUGCUUCUCAUGUGCCAUUUUCUAUUAUUCUCCUCUAAUUUCCCAAGGUCAGGCUGCUAACCAGGAAGGGAGAGUAAAAUGCUAAGAUCAAGAUCUCACCAAGCAAAACCCCGCAUAGUUUUGCCCUACUACUUCCAGAUCUUGGUCUUCUGAUGAGAAAUAACCACUCUUGUUGAAAGUAUUCAAAUACGCAUCUGGAAAGAAUUCAGGUCAACAUGGUCAACAUUUUAAAACCUUGGCUAACUUCGACACCAGCCCUUCGGAAUGCUCAGCAAGCUGGAACAACACUGGAUCCAGAACCAGCCUUCUUCCGGAACAUAUCUAUCCACAGAAGACAAACUGUACAAGAGAAACCUCCACCAUCCAGGCUUCUGCUGUGCAGGUGUGUGGUGGUCUGCUGCUUAGAGAGACAUGGAAUUUUCAGAGGUUAUUUUUCAAAUCCACCUGGAUCAUUCGGUGUCUUCGCUUGCUUUGGGGAUAAUUUAGAGAAAUCUAUUAGAAGCACGUCAAGAACUACAAGGUAAAAAAACAUAGUCAAUCCUUUCAAAGCCCUUCAGUCCACUGCAUUUUAUUGUGUCUUAUAAAUUUCACAUAUUCAGCUUGAACUCUCUCCUCUGGCUCUUCCAUCCCACCUCACUCCCACACCCAUCUGAAAGACAAAAAUAUGUGAAUUCUAUCUUUUUCUACUCAGACUUUUCCUUUUUGUUUUUUCAGGAAAAUUAGCCCUGAGCUAACAUCUGCUGCCAAUUUUCCUCUUUCUGCUAAGGAAGACUGGCCCUGAGCUAACAUCUGUGCUCAUCUUCUUCUACUUUAUAUGUGGCCUGCCUGCCACAGCAUGACUUAGUAAGCAGUGCCACACCCGGGAUUCGAACCAGCCAACCCCGACCCACCAGAGCAGUGCGUGUGAAAUUAACUGGUACACCACCCCUCUCCUCAGACUUUUAGAGAAUAAUAGCAACAGCUUUGAAAAUCUUCCAGAAUACUUAAUCUAACCUAUGACAUCAUUUAACUGUCAUGACUCACAUUUGUGUAGGACUGCAGGAGUUGGAAUAUUUUUGCAUUUGAGCCUUAUGCAAUCCAAUGAAAUAGAUAGAGGAGGAAUUGUGAUUACUCCGGUUACACAAUGGAGAAAAUCAAGCCUUUCAGAGGCCAAGUGAUGACUGAAGCUAGCUUAUUAGUAAGUGGAAGGGCUGGCUUGCCUGACUCCCAGGCCUGCACUGCUUUUACUAUACUAUUUUGCCUCUUUCCAACUGUUUAUGUGACUUUCCACCUACUAUGUUUCCAGCAUAUUCAGCAUUUAUAUUUUUCUCUUGAAACAUAAGCUAAAUAACAAUAAGCAAAACAGACGAGCAAAUUUAGAGGAUUCUCCAGAUAAGUUGGUCUGGAAAUAAGUACCCACUUAAAUCUCUAUGAUGAUUGCACACAGCCUUUACAUGAAAUACAAUAUAUAUCUUGCAGCCAAAACUCAAGUAUCAAUCAAUGUUUAGAGCAGCAAAAAUUAGUAGCCCAAGAAAUUUUUCUUAGAGUCUAUGGAGAAGGUCUGUCAAUUUUUAAAACUCUUACCUUUAUUGAGGGUAUGGCUGCCCAAGAGUAAUUGAAAAUAGGCUUGUAAUUCCACAAAUAUGUUUAGGUGUCACAUUUUUGCAUUUCAUGAGCUCCUUAAAGCCUGAGCUAAGGUCUCAUUUGCCUUUAUAUUAUUGCAGGUAAGCACAGUGCCUUGAACAUAGUAAGCAUUUGGUAAAUAUUUGGUUUUAUUGUUAAGCAUUUGACAGAUACCUAUAAGCCACCAUAUUUCUGAUUUAAGGUGACUAGUGUAGGGGAGGAAGACAUUUUCUCUAUCCGCUCUGGGUCCUUUUGGCCAAACAACGAAUUAAAUUCACAUGAGACAGAAUAACAGGAGAAAAUUAAACAAAGCUUUAUAACAUGUAUACAUGGGAGAGGCUCAGGCAAACCGAGCUACUCACCAAAAUGGCCGAAGCCACCACCUUAAAUAUCAUCUUCAGCUAAAGACAAAGGAGGAUCUUGGAGGUGGGAGGUGUCAGUUAUGGGAGGUUACCAGACAAGUACAGCAAACAAGAGUAAGAUUAUGCAGAUUUAAGUCCUUACCUUCCGUGUUAAGAGCUUCUAGAGAUAAGGUCAUCCCCCUUCUUCCUGGUACAGAGAGGGAGACACCUUUACAGAUGGAGAUUUCCUUUACAAAUGUAAAUGUCCCUUAACAAAGGGUAAGUAAAUUCUACUUUUCAGAGUUUCUUUCCUGUCUGCAGUUUUUAAAAGUAACCAGCUUAAAAUAUUCCUCAGGCCAAAGAGACAGAUCUUGGUGUGGCCAAUUCCAGUCCCCCACACUAGUUAUUAUGUUUCUCGGAAGAACUCUAAACAAAACUUCAUUGUUGUUCUUCAUAUGUGCGUAGACACAGUUUAUUCUUUAAUAGAUUCACUAAUAAAGGUUAUGUUCACAAUUCUAUUUCCA
rnacentral:lncRNA from 1 species